GAUCUGAUAAGUAAUCUAUUUGAUUUAUAAUACAUUUAAUACUCAUUAAUUCAAAUUUACAAAUUAACUUACAAAGUUAUGUCCAAAGGGAGACUACUUAAGCAUUGAAAUUCACACCCACAUUUGUUUCCCUCAUGACUUAACAAUAUCCCAAACUAGAAGAAUACACAAAUCUCGUUCACCAGUGGCACAAAGAGACUCAUGUGAGAAACUGGAAGAAAUAGCUGCUUAGAGUUCGCGUGAAGGGCUCCCUCAACACCAAACCAGACCGAGCCAACUGCCAGGCUCACGGAGCGCUCCAAACACGCUCCCUGGAGAAAACAUCUCAUCAAGCGCCAGGGGACAUAGUUCGUCUUCCUGCCAAUAUCCCCACUGAGACCACUUUCAACUUUAAGGUCCAGGUUCCCGAAGUCUGGUCCGUGGAGGGAAACGUGUGUGGAAUGAACCCUCUGCGGGUCUCCAAUCUGGCUGCUUUCCAGGGCCUUGUGGGGACAAGCCUGGCACCAGUGCAAAGGCAGAGCCCCGACAGCCCCCUUUUGGGACCUGGUUCCUCCGAGGUCCUGCAUCUGCGCCAGUGGCGAGGAGUCUGCGCAGGACGCGCACAGUUCUAAAGCUGGGGACGUUGUCACCACCCGCCCUUCCGAGUAGAGGCAGCAGUCUGCAGGAUCCACAGGUCACAUGAGGGCACCCAGGCCCUGACCCCCUGCUGCAGCGAGGCCAUGCCAGUCGCUGAUUUCACUCUGAUUCUACUUCUUAGAGUCUUGCGAUAUAAUUAUAUUUUCUCUCCAUUUGAGUUUUACUUCCCUAAAUAAACAUUUGAUUUUGAG
rnacentral:lncRNA from 1 species